UGGCGGACGGGUGAGUAACGCGUGGGUAACGUUACCCUUUGUACUGGGGGACAACAGUUAGAAAUGACUGCUAAUACCGCAUAAGCGCACAGUAUCGCAUGAUACAGUGUGAAAAACUCCGGUGGUACAAGAUGGACCCGCGUCUGAUUAGCUAGUUGGUAAGGUAACGGCUUACCAAGGCGACGAUCAGUAGCCGACCUGAGAGGGUGACCGGCCACAUUGGGACUGAGACACGGCCCAA
rnacentral:rRNA from 1 species